GACGAACGCUGGCGGCGUGCUUAACACAUGCAAGUCGAACGGAAAGGCCCCUUUCGGGGUAUUCUCGUGGGGAGAAGGGGUGAAUCACGCGUGUGUAACCUGCUCUUGUCCUUGAGAUAUCUUCGGGACACGGGGGCUUACAGCGGAGAAAUGCUUCCGCUACGUGGUGGGGGGUGGAGAGUUUCGGCGGUUGGGGGUGGACUCGCGGCUUAUCAGCUUGUUGGUGGGGUAGUGGCUUACCAAGGCUUUGACGGGUAGCGGGCCUGAGAGGGUGACCGGCCACAUUGGGACUGAGAUACGGCCCAGACUCCUACGGGAGGCAGCAGUGGGGAAUAUUGCACAAUGGGUGGAAGCCUGAUGCAGCAACGCCGUGUGCGGGAUGACGGCCUUCGGGUUGUAAACCGCUUUCGCUCGCGACGAAGCUUUGUGUGACGGUAGUUGGUAAAGAAGCACCGGCUAACUACGUG
rnacentral:rRNA from 1 species